UGAUAGCAGUUGGUAACAUCAUAGAAUAUAUUUUAUUCUGUACUAAUGUUAAAUACUCAUUACAAGUACCAAUAUACUUUUUAACUUUAAAAAGUCUUUGGCACUCAUAAUCUUACCAAUACUCAAUAAGAAAAUGAUUAAUAUUUUAUGAUGAUCACAAUUCUAUUAAGUUAGUUAAGUCCGCAAUAUUCUAAAAUAUAAAGAAAUACCAUAGAUGAUCAUCGUUGGAUGUCUUAAGUUUGAUUAUUCUAAUCAUACAUUUUAAUUUGUGUAUUUCUUUUCAUUUUUUUUUGGGAGUUUUUAUUACAAGAUUUUUAUUGAUGUUUGGUAAGAAUUUCAAAAAUAAAAUUGAUAAACAAAUAAAAUAAUGCAAGGAAUAAAUUAUGGAAAAUAUGUGAAGCUUAAAUAUCGAAGAGGAUUCUUUAGGCUGUCUAUAUAAAAUUCCGAUAAAAGUACACAGUUACGCAAAAUAUAUGUUUUACAAGAAAAAAUUGUACAUUAGAAUCAAUGUAACAAAAAUUUAAUUAUUAAAAUUAGAAUAACUCAAAAAGAGAAAGUAUUAAAAUGUAUUGUGUAAAAGGUUGACAUUUGUUUACUGAGGUAUUCACCAAGAGCACAUUCAGAAAUCAUUUUAUGAGGAUAUUUAAUUUUUUUUUUUUGACUUUGUUAAACAUACUCUAAAAUUUUUUUUUUAAAAAUCAAUGUGAUGAUCAAAUAAAAAGUUUAUAGUCAUUUUUCUUAGAAAUUGGCCUUAAAAAAUAUUAAUAGCCCUGGUCCAAGAGGUAAUAUGAGAUUGGGUUCCAAAGAGUAUUGUUAUAUUCAAGUAUGGGAUGUACCAAUGAACAAUAAUUUGAGAUAAUAAAUGGAAGUCGGAUAAUGAAUCCAAACAACUUAAAUGCUCUACAGCAAAUUUGCUUAUUGGGGCAAAAAUCAAUGGCCAGAAUAAAGCCUAGUUUUAGUUUUUAUCGAAGUGGACAUAAUAAUAUAUAUAUAUAUAUUCAGAGAGAGUAAUUAACUUUUUAAAAGCCUUAAAGAAGUCAGUGUUAAUAACGUUGAGUUGACAGCCUAAAGGAAUCAAAGGUAUAAGAAGUAAUGAUAGUUGAUAACAAAAUAAUAAUGUACGGUCACAUUGACCCCUAUAUAAUAUUGUUAAGUGGUUACGGCGGUGCAGCCGCUGAAAGUGAGCAGUGAUUAUUUCCUUUAAUAAACGGUUUUGUAAUAAAUGAGUAAAAUAAUGAGGAUAAUAAAUUGAAAUUAUCCUAACAUUGAAUAUAUUUUUCUUUAAGGAAGUUUACAUAGUGUUACAAGUGGUAUUAGAGCGACCGGGGCGGAAACCAUGUUGCUAAUCAAUUGUAUUUGUAAACGGCACUCUUUAGUACUAAAUAAAAAACAAAUUUAACUAUUCACAAAAACUUGAUUGUAAUUUUAUUUUGGGAAAUAAAAUGUGCUAGGCUACAUUUCUAAUAUAAUAACAAUAAACACAAACUGUAGAAUAAUCACGAAAUUUUAAAUUUAAUGUAGGAAUUAUUUUUUAAUCAAAUUAUAAAAAAUGUCAAAACAACUCAGAUCUUUAACAAUAUAUAUAUAUAUCAAUAUUUAUGUCAAAUUCAAUUGAGGGGGGGGGGAAAUGAUACUUUUGCCCUCCUGUAUGUUGACUGGGGACAAAACUGCCCAUCCUGCCAAUCGGUUCCGGUGUCACUGACAAGAUCUUUUAACUCCUUAACAUUUUCCAUAGUCUCCCUAAAAAUGAAAAAAAAUUGUGUAUUUUUAUAUAACUGUACACAUUUUUUUGGGGCCAUAGCAAACUUUGAGAAGUUUAAAUAUAUCUAGUUCCCUUUAAAUUGUCGUCGAUGGUCACAAAUGUUAUUUAUUUUGUAGAUAUUAAUACACCUACAGAAUAAAUUAAAAAAAAAAUCUACAAUUAAUAUCUGAUGCAUAGAAUACUUUGUUUACAAAUAUUUAACUUUUAGAUACCUAUUGUAAAUUAUUACACGAUACGAAAAGUAUUGAAAACAAAAGUUUCUAUGAAAUUAUCUAAAAAAACAACAAAAACCAACAGUUACAGAUAAUGACACUUGUUUUAUACAAAAUCAUAAUAAUCUGGUAACAAGUUUUGUACAAAACAAGUACAAACGGAAAAUAAAUAUUUUAUAAUCAAGUAAAAAAAAAAAA